rnacentral:rRNA from 1 species
CCUACGGGAGGCAGCAGUAGGGAAUUUUCCGCAAUGGGCGAAAGCCUGACGGAGCAAUACCGCGUGAGGGAUGACGGCCUGUGGGUUGUAAACCUCUUUUCUCAAGGAAGAAGUUCUGACGGUACUUGAGGAAUAAGCAUCGGCUAACUCUGUGCCAGCAGCCGCGGUAAUACAGAGGAUGCAAGCGUUAUCCGGAAUCACUGGGCAUAAAGCGUCUGUAGGUUGUUUAGUAAGUCUGCUGUUAAAGACUGGGGCUUAACCCCAGAAAAGCAGUGGAAACUGCUAGACUCGAGUGUGGUAGAGGUAGAGGGAAUUCCUAGUGUAGCGGUGAAAUGCGUAGAUAUUAGGAAGAACACCAAUGGCGAAGGCACUCUACUGGGCCAUAACUGACACUGAGAGACGACAGCUAGGGGAGCAAACGGGAUUAGAUACCCCGGUAGUCCUAGCCGUAAACGAUGGAUACUAGAUGUUGCACGUAUUAACCCGUGCAGUAUCGUAGCUAAGGCGUUAAGUAUCCCGCCUGGGAAGUACGCNCGCAGAGUAGAACGUUAAAGGUAAAGUUAGACGGACGUGAGACGUGCCGACGGACGACGACGAGGGAGGUAGG